rnacentral:rRNA from 1 species
GACGAACGCUGGCGGCGUGCUUAACACAUGCAAGUCGAACGGAGUGGCGAACGGGUGAGUAAUAUGUGGGUGAACUGCCCUGCACUUCGGGACAAGCAUGGGAAACUGGGUCUAAUACAGGAUCGUGUGGGCUGGGCGCGCGGCUCAUCGGCUUGUUGGUGGGGUAAUGGCCGACCAAGGCGGCGACGGGUAGCCGGCCUGUGAGGGUGGACGGCCACGUUGGGACUGAGGCACGGCCCAGACUCCUACGGGAGGCAGCAGUCGGGAAUCUUGCAGAAUGGACGGGAGCAAGAUGCAGCGACUCCGCGUGGGGGGUGACGGCCUUCGGGUUGUAAACACCUUUCUCCGUCGACGCGGUAGAUGACGAAGAAGCACCGGCUAACUACGUGCCAGCAGCCGCGGUAAUUC